GUGGGGAAUUUUGCGCAAUGGGCUAACGCCUGACGCAGCAACGCCGCGUGGAGGAUGAAGGUCUUUGGAUUGUAAACUCCUGUCAGCAGGGAAAAAGGGAAGGGAGCUAAUACCUCUCUGACUUGAUUGUACCUGCAGAGGAAGCCCCGGCUAACUCUGUGCCAGCAGCCGCGGUAAUACAGAGGGGGCAAGCGUUAUUCGGAAUUAUUGGGCGUAAAGGGCGCGUAGGCGGCUUUGCAAGUGGCGGGUGAAAUCCCUCGGCUUAACCGAGGAACUGCCUGCCAGACUGCAUGGCUUGAGACCGGGAGAGGUGAGUGGAAUUCCCAGUGUAGCGGUGAAAUGCGUAGAUAUUGGGAGGAACACCAGUGGCGAAGGCGGCUCACUGGACCGGUACUGACGCUGAGGCGCGAAAGCGUGGGGAGCAAACAGGAUUAGAAACCCUAGUAGUCC
rnacentral:rRNA from 1 species